rnacentral:tRNA from 1 species
GGGGUUGUGGCGUAGUGGUAGAGCACUCGCCCAGCAAGUGAGAGGCCUGGGUUCAAUCCUCAGCACCACA